rnacentral:lncRNA from 1 species
CUGGAGAUCUUGUUGUAGUUCCAGUUUGUCAAGCAUUUGGGAGACUUAUCCAUCCUCUCUUGACUUGUAAGGGAGCUACCAUUUGAUUUUUAUGGGGGGGAGGGGCUAGGAUGAAAAAUUUUGUCCUGCUUUUUUAAAAAUUGUAAUCUCUGUCCUGCCUUUUUAUUUUUUACUCUAUUCGGUCCUGCCUUUUUAUUUUACUAGUUUAUCUUGACUUUUUUACACAAAAUGUCAUCCUGCUUUUUUUUUUUUACUUAAGACUCCUGUCCUGCCUAUUUUUUUCAAAUUUCAUCCUAGCCCCCCUCCCCCUUUUCCAUAAAAAUCAAAUGGUAGAUCCCUAAUCUCUGGUGAUAAAUUUUGCCGCUUGACAUGUUUAUUAUUUUUUACCGGUAGG